GGCGAACGCUGGCGGCGUGCUUAACACAUGCAAGUCGAACGGAAAGACCCUGCUUUUGUGGGGUGCUCGAGUGGCGAACGGGUGAGUAACACGUGAGUAACCUGCCCUUGACUUUGGGAUAACUUCAGGAAACUGGAGCUAAUACCGGAUAGCAGCUCCUGCUGCAUGGUGGGGGUUGGAAAUUUUCGGCGGUCGGGGUUGGACGGGCGGCUUAUCGGCUUGUUGGUUGGGUAGUGGUUUACCAAGGCUUUGACGGGUAGCCGGCCUGAGAGGGUGAACGGGCACAUGAGGACUGCGGGAGGGAGCAGACGGCUACGGGGGGCAGUAGUGGGAAGUAUUGCACAGUGGGCGGGAGUGUGAGGAAGAAGCGCUGCGUGCGGGAUGACGGUCUGCGGGGUGAAAACCGCUUUCGCCUGUGACGAAGCGGGUGUGACGGUAAUGGGUAAAGAAGCACCGGCUAACUACGUG
rnacentral:rRNA from 1 species